UAUCGGAUUGAUACUAAGCCAUGCGAGUCAUUGCAGUAAUGCAAGGCAGACGGCUCAGUAACGCGUAGUCAACCUACCCUAUGGACGGGAAUAACCUCGGGAAACUGAGUAUAAUGCCCGAUAGAACACUAUUCCUGGAAUGGUUUGUGUUCCAAAUGAUUUAUCGCCGUAGGAUGGGACUGCGGCCUAUCAGUUUGUUGGUGAGGUAAUGGCCCACCAAGACUAUUACAGGUACGGGCUCUGAGAGGAGUAGCCCGGAGAUGGGUACUGAGACACGGACCCAGGCCCUAUGGGGCGCAGCAGGCGAGAAAACUUUGCAAUGUGCGAAAGCACGACAAGGUUAAUCCGAGUGGUUUGUGCUAAACGAACCUUUUGACAGUCCUAGAAACACUGUUGAAUAAGGGGUGGGCAAGUUCUGGUGUCAGCCGCCGCGGUAAAACCAGCACCUCAAGUGGUCAGGAUGAUUAUUGGGCCUAAAGCAUCCGUAGCCGGCUCUGUAAGUUUUCGGUUAAAUCUGUACGCUCAACGUACAGGCUGCCGGGAAUACUGCAGAGCUAGGGAGUGGGAGAGGUAGACGGUACUCGGUAGGAAGGGGUAAAAUCCUUUGAUCUAUUGAUGACCACCUGUGGCGAAGGCGGUCUACCAGAACACGUCCGACGGUGAGGGAUGAAAGCUGGGGGAGCAAACCGGAUUAGAUACCCGGGUAGUCCCAGCUGUAAACUAUGCAAACUCAGUGAUGCAUUGGCUUGUGGCCAAUGCAGUGCUGCAGGGAAGCCGUUAAGUUUGCCGCCUGGGAAGUACGUACGCAAGUAUGAAACUUAAAGGAAUUGGCGGGGGAGCACCACAAGGGGUGAGGCCUGCGGUUCAAUUGGAGUC
rnacentral:rRNA from 1 species